rnacentral:rRNA from 1 species
CGUCGUUGCGGUUUCGGGGGGAACGCGAAGAACCUUACCAGGUCUUGACAUCCUCUGACAAUCCUAGAGAUAGGACGUCCCCUUCGGGGGCAGAGUGACAGGUGGUGCAUGGUUGUCGUCAGCUCGUGUCGUGAGAUGUUGGGUUAAGUCCCGCAACGAGCGCAACCCUUGAUCUUAGUUGCCAGCAUUCAGUUGGGCACUCUAAGGUGACUGCCGGUGACAAACCGGAGGAAGGUGGGGAUGACGUCAAAUCAUCAUGCCCCUUAUGACCUGGGCUACACACGUGCUACAAUGGACAGAACAAAGGGCAGCGAAACCGCGAGGUUAAGCCAAUCCCACAAAUCUGUUCUCAGUUCGGAUCGCAGUCUGCAACUCGACUGCGUGAAGCUGGAAUCGCUAGUAAUCGCGAUCAGCAUGCCGCAUCCC